AGCUGGAAGUCCUUUGUCAUUUGGGGACCGUGAUUAUCUGGAAGAAGCAAUCAUUUACAUUCUUCAUUGGCUCUUUAGCCAUUCCUCAGGAAUGGCGAAGACUCUUCAUUUUGAAGUGCAUGGUGCUUCCAGGGUUUUAUUGGCUUAUUCCUUUUACUCCCACAGGCUGUUCCAUGUGGAAGGAGGAGCGCCACAGAUUUAGCUGCCUGCAGCUCUGGGGACACGCGGGUGUUACCAUGCCAGGCCCUUGGAGGGUUGGGACCAAGCUCUCCUGACACUCUCUGAUGUCCCAUUUUGUCACUGGCUGUGCAAAUAGAGCCAGCUGUCAUUUUUCCUGUACAAAUGAAAUGGGUCACUGAGAAUGCAUGUAAAAGAGCAGAUAAUGAUAAGAUGGCUUAUAUUUAGCUUUAGACCACAUUAUAGGUUUGGCCUUUCUCGGUAGAAUUACUGCCCUAAUUUUGUUCCACUGAUACUAGAAAAGGCCUGAUGUUAGAGCUGGAAGGGAUCUGUAGUAUCACGCAGUCCGAUUCUCUAAUUUUCCACAUGAGAAAAUGAAGGUCCAGAGGAAGCAGAGACUUAACUCACAAAUCAGAAAAGCGGUUCGUGCAGAACUGAGGCCAUAGUGAGGACUUUCUGCUUUCCACCAUACCACCUUGCCAGUCCACACAAGAGGGAGGUUGUAUUUUGGGGGGCAUACACUGAGGAUGGAGAAAGAUGGCAUCAGAACUGCUGGGUGAAGUGGUGGCUUAACUGGACUUUGACAGCUGCCUUUUGAAAACCCCAAAACUAAACACACUGCAUGUAAUCAAAAGAUGCUUAUACUAAUAAUGACCUGUGCUGUUCCCACUCAGUUGCUCUCUGUUUUCGAGAAGACAUGAGAAGCUGCAACAUGACCUGGAGUGGAACUGGAGAGUCACAUUUUUGUUUCAGCCACCUGCUGGGCAGCAGAGCGACUGCACCUUCCCAGAAGGCUGAAGUGCUCGUGUGCUGCACUCCAGUGGCAUCUCUGCAGUGGUCAGAGUGACCUGGUAUAAGGGAGAGGGCAUCACCUUGCCCCCUGUGCUGACUCCUGCCCUCCCCCUACAGGAGAGUCCAUCCCGAUCCGGCUCUUCCUGGCCGGGUAUGAGCUCACGCCCACCAUGCGGGACAUCAACAAGAAGUUCUCUGUGCGCUAUUACCUCAACCUGGUGCUGAUAGACGAGGAGGAGCGGCGCUACUUCAAGCAGCAGGAAGUGGUGUUGUGGCGGAAGGGUGACAUCGUACGGAAGAGCAUGUCCCACCAGGCGGCCAUCGCCUCACAGCGCUUUGAGGGCACCACCUCCCUGGGUGAGGUGCGGACCCCCAGCCAGCUGUCUGACAACAACUGCAGGCAGUAGGCCCCCAGGGCCAAGAAGAUGCUGGGCACCCACCCAGCACCCCCAUCUACCAACACCAGCGGCUGGGGGCGGGGGCGGACCUUGUGAGGCUCAGUUGACCCGUUACUUGCAACCUGAAAACAAAUCAUGUUUUUGACUUAAAUUCUUUUCUCCGGAGAACCCAAGGGGCUUGGGGUGGGAAGCAGUCUCUCCUUGGGAUUCUGCGGCCGAUGUGGGAUAGAAGAGGUAGCAUCCUGGAAGCCAGCCUCUCUGGGGAACAUGAGCCCCCUUCCUCAGGGGGCUGCCUUGCGUCUUAGAGGAGGGAGAGCAGAGAGCACGCAUCCUUGGCUCCUGGCUCUCCGAGCUUCCUGAUACAGGAUCUGAGCAUGUCCCUGGGAUUCUGAGCUGCCAACAGGGCCCUGGGUAGUCACAUCUUGUACUCCCCUCUGCUGUCCCAGAGGUAGUGGCAGGAGUUGGGCCAGCCCCCACUAAGUGGCAGGGGAAGACUCACGAUUGGGAAGCUACCUCUUUGGGAAUCUUGGAUGUGGUGAUCUCAAGUUCCCACAGGCCACCUCCUUCUGGCCACUCACUGCUGGGACCCAGGCACCUCCCUUCUCCAUCCUCUCUGGAUUGUCAGUAAUGUCCUGGAACAGAAGCCUGUGGGAUGGCCUUGGGCACAGAGAAGCCCUGGGGUCAGUGUCGUGCACGGAUGGCGGCA
rnacentral:sRNA from 1 species